UAAACCUCUUUUAGCAGGGAAGAAGCGAAAGUGACGGUACCUGCAGAAAAAGCGCCGGCUAACUACGUGCCAGCAGCCGCGGUAAUACGUAGGGCGCAAGCGUUGUCCGGAAUUAUUGGGCGUAAAGAGCUCGUAGGCGGUCUGUCGCGUCUGCUGUGAAAUCCCGAGGCUCAACCUCGGGCUUGCAGUGGGUACGGGCAGACUAGAGUGCGGUAGGGGAGAAUGGAAUUCCUGGUGUAGCGGUGGAAUGCGCAGAUAUCAGGAGGAACACCGAUGGCGAAGGCAGUUCUCUGGGCCGUAACUGACGCUGAGGAGCGAAAGCGUGGGGAGCGAACAGGAUUAGAUACCCUGGUAGUCCACGCCGUAAACGUUGGGCGCUAGUUGUGGGGACCAUUCCACGGUCUCCGUGACGUAGCUAACGCAUUAAGCGCCCCGCCUGGGGAGUACGGCCGCAAGGCUAAAACUCAAAUGAAUUGACGGAA
rnacentral:rRNA from 1 species